AAGUAAAAGUCGUAACAAGGUUUCCGUAGGUGAACCUGCGGAAGGAUCAUUCAUAAUAAGUGUUUUACUGCACUUUUUAAACAAGUACUCACCUUGUGUGCAAUGUUUGCUGACAUCGUCGUUCACGCGUCGCGUCAGCAUAAUACCAACCCUUUAUUGAAACUUUUUUGUCUGAAGAUAUUUUGAAUAAAUAAUUCUAAAUACAACUUUCAACAACGGAUCUCUUGGCUCUCGCAUCGAUGAAGAACGCAGC
rnacentral:misc_RNA from 1 species